rnacentral:rRNA from 1 species
UGAUCCUGGCUCAGGACGAACGCUGGCGGCGUGCCUCAUACAUGCAAGUCGAGCGAAGACUUACCGGUCCUUCGGGACGGGUAAGGACUGAGCGGCGAACGGGUGAGUAACACGUGGGUAACCUGCCCAUCAGCGGGGGAUAACCCUGGGAAACCGGGACUAAUACCCCAUAAUUCCAGUUGACAGCAGUUGAUUGGAAAAAGGCGGCCUCUUAGAAGCUGUCACUGAUGGAUGGGCCCGCGUCCCAUUAGUUAGUUGGUGGGGUAAAAGCCUACCAAGACAGCGAUGGGUAGCCGGCCUGAGAGGGUGGCCGGUCACACUGGGACUGAGACACGGCCCAGACUCCUACGGGAGGCAGCAGUAGGGAAUUUUGCACAAUGGGGGCAACCCUGAUGCAGCGACGCCGCGUGAGCGAUGAAGGCCUUCGGGUUGUAAAGCUCUGUCAUGGGGGACGAACGUCCCGGUAGCAAAUAGUUGCCGGGAGUGACGGUACCCCAGAAGGAAGCCCCGGCUAACUACGUGCCAGCAGCCGCGGUAAUACGUAGGGGGCGAGCGUUGUCCGGAAUUACUGGGCGUAAAGGGCACGCAGGCGGUCUGGCCAGUCUGAUGUGAAAGGCCCCGGCUCAACCGGGGAGUGGCAUUGGAAACUGCCAGGCUUGAGGACGGAAGAGGAGAGCGGAAUUCCCGGUGUAGCGGUGGAAUGCGUAGAGAUCGGGAGGAACACCAGUGGCGAAGGCGGCUCUCUGGUCCGUACCUGACGCUGAGGUGCGAAAGCGUGGGUAGCGAACAGGAUUAGAUACCCUGGUAGUCCACGCCGUAAACGCUGGGUACUAGGUGUGGGAGGUAUCGACCCCUUCCGUGCCGGAGUUAACGCAUUAAGUACCCCGCCUGGGGAGUACGGCCGCAAGGCUGAAACUCAAAGGAAUUGACGGGGGCCCGCACAAGCGGUGGAGCAUGUGGUUUAAUUCGACGCAACGCGAAGAACCUUACCUGGGCUUGACAUCCCCCGAAUCCCGGUGAAAGCCGGGAGUGCCUGCGGGAGCGGGGAGACAGGUGCUGCAUGGUUGUCGUCAGCUCGUGUCGUGAGAUGUUGGGUUAAGUCCCGCAACGAGCGCAACCCUCGUUCUGUGUUACCAGCAGUUCAGCUGGGGACUCACAGGAGACUGCCGGUGAACAAGCCGGAGGAAGGUGAGGAUGACGUCAAAUCAUCAUGGCCUUUAUGUCCAGGGCUACACACGUGCUACAAUGGUCGGUACAACGGGCCGCUAGGUCGCGAGGCUAAGCGAAUCCCUGAAAACCGGCCCCAGUUCGGAUUGCAGGCUGCAAUUCGCCUGCAUGAAGUUGGAAUCGCUAGUAAUCGCGGAUCAGAACGCCGCGGUGAUACGUUCCCGGGCCUUGUACACACCGCCCGUCACACCAUGGGAGCCAACAACACCCGAAGCCGGUGGGCCAACCGCAAGGAGGCAGCCGUCGAAGGUGGGGCUGUAACUGGGGUGAAGUC